rnacentral:rRNA from 1 species
UACGUAGGGGCCGAGCGUUGUCCGGAGUUAUUGGGCGUAAAGCGCGCGCAGGCGGCUUGGCGCGCCCGACGUGAAAGCCCACGGCUCAACCGUGGAGGGUCAUUGGAAACUGGGGGACUUGAGUGCAGGAGAGGAGAGUGGAAUUCCACGUGUAGCGGUGAAAUGCGUAGAGAUGUGGAGGAACACCGGUGGCGAAGGCGGCUCUCUGGCCUGUAACUGACGCUGAGGAGCGAAAGCGUGGGGAGCAAACAGG